UGUACUGGAAGCUUCCCCCGGCGACCAUAGGCCUCUAGAAGGCUCCCGGAGAAACGAGCAAGGGGGCGGGGAGCAAGGCGAGCCAGGCGGGAAGUGUUGCCAACUCCCAUAUAUUUUUGCUACAUGUUCUUGUAUGAUCUAAAAUAUACUGUAACAUUCUAGACUGUACUGUUCUGGAUAUAUAUAGGAGAAGAGGGCGAGAGGAGUCCAGUCCCAGUUAUAGUAAGCUAGUGGUCAGUGAAGAGUCAGAGUGAAGUGUACUACUAAGGAAGAAUAUUAAACAACAGAAGUUGUGCAAAGUGUUUAUGUAUAAUCUCCCUCCCACGGAGUCUUGUGACGGCGACACGGAACCCAAGUUGUGCCGAUGCGAAGGCCUGACUCUCCAACGGGUCACCUGUACAGCAAGAGCAAGUGUUUACCUUUGACACGUGGAGUACCUGACACGCCUCCGCCUGGGCCACACACGACUCAGCGCUCACCUCCACCGCCUGCGCCUGGCCCCGACCCUCACUGCCCAAGGAGUCACUGCCCCUGGUGCAGGACCGUGGAGGAGGCCAGUGACCACCUCCUGCUGCACUGUGUACUUCAGAUAAUCUAUAAGUUCAAUUUACAUGGCCUGGUAGUAUGUAACUUUUAUAAGUGACUGUACUUGUCUAUUUGUUAUAUGUGUAAUUUUCUUUAUUAUUCUUAUUCCUAUAUUCUUGAGAUUAUUCCAUUGCAUUACUGCCCUAUUAUCUUUCUUUACUUUGUGUAUAAUUAUGAGACCAAUAUUUCUUUCUCAUAUUUUCUUUUGCUUGUGUGUCUGUGUUCAUGCAUUUUCUAUAAUGCACAAUGCGUGCCAUAUAUCUACAUGCCAGCAUAUAUUUGUUGUAUAUACUUUUCUAGACAAAUACAACUGAACUGCACCUU